UACGAAGGGGGCUAGCGUUGCUCGGAAUCACUGGGCGUAAAGCGCACGUAGGCGGACUUUUAAGUCAGGGGUGAAAUCCCGGGGCUCAACCUCGGAACUGCCUUUGAUACUGGAAGUCUUGAGUAUGGAAGAGGUAAGUGGAAUUGCGAGUGUAGAGGUGAAAUUCGUAGAUAUUCGCAGGAACACCAGUGGCGAAGGCGGCUUACUGGUCCAUUACUGACGCUGAGGUGCGAAAGCGUGGGGAGCAAACAGG
rnacentral:rRNA from 1 species